CCGAGGCCGGCCACAAGCCCACGGUCCCUUCUGCACGGUCCCUGCCGCGCUGGGGCCACCGUGGAGGCCCGGAGGGCCCUGGGAGGAGGGAGGAGGAGCAGAGGCUUUCGGGAGAACCCAGCCCUUCACCGGCCAGGGGAGGCCGCGAUGCAUCGCGACUGGUUGUGAAGAGCCAGGGGAAGAACUUUACCGUGCAGGUGAGUGGGAGACAUCAGAACACCUGCCUGUCCUAAAUACGAAGCCUCGAAUCCUAACCUAUAAAAGGUUACCUUAGGGUUUAGGGUUAGGGCUACAGAUUAGAGCUAGGGAUUAAGGUUAGAGUUGGGGUUGGGGUUAGGGUUUAGGGGUUAGAAGUUAGUUUUGGGGUUAGGAGUGGGGUUAGAAUUAGGGUUUGGGGUUAGUGUUAGGGGUAGGGGAAGGAUUGGGGUAGGGUUAGGGUUGGGCUAGGGUCGGGGUAGGGGUAGGGUUUUACGGUUAGGGUCAGGGUUUUAGUGUUGGGGUUAGGGUAUUGGGGUUAGGGUUUGGGGGCUAGGGGAUUAGGGUCAGGGGUGGGGGUUAGGGUUUGGGAUUUGGCUAAGGUUUGUAAGGGUUAGGGUUUUAGGGUAGGGGAUAGGGGUUAGGGUUACGUGUUGGGGUUGGGAUUAGGGUUAGGGGUUACAGUUUAGGGUAAGGGGUUAGAGUUAAGGGUUAGGGUUAGCAUUAGGAGUUACAGUUGGGUUAAGGGUUAGGGGUUAGGCUUAGUGUUGUUAGGGUUAGCUUCAGGGUUCGGUGUCAGGGUUUGGGGUGGGGUAGUGGUAGGUUUAGGGGUAGCGUUGUGUGUUAGGAUUUGUGGUUACGGUUCGGGCUAGGGUUUUAGGGGUAGGCAUAGGUUCGAGUUUGGGUUUGGGUGUUAGGUUUAUGGCUAGCAUUAGGGUAGGGGUUAGGUGUAGGAGUAGGGGUUGAGGUUAUGAGUUGAGGUUAGGGUUAGGGGUCAGGGGUCCGGUCAAGGGUUGGUGUUGGAUUUAGGGAUUAGGGCUAGAAUUAGGGGUUAGGGUUAGGGGUUUGUGUCGGGGUUGGGUUGGAGGCUUGGGUUCAGGGUCAAGUUUAGGGUUGGGGCUAGGGCUUAGGGUUAUGGGUUAGUGUUAGCAGUUAGGGUUAAGGUUUAGGCUUAGGGUUUAGUGCUUGAGGUGGGGGUUAGGUGUUAGGGGUUAGGGUUAAGGGUUAGUGUUUUGCGUUAGUGGUUAGGGUUAAGGGUUAUGGUUAAGGGUCAGCGUUAGGGUCAGGGGUUAGGGGUAGGGGUUGUGCUUAGUUUUAGGGUUAGGGUUCCUGGACGGAUGGUUUUCCUGCUUGGGAAUGUUCCUGGGCUGUGAGAUCCACUCUUCUGGGCAGGUGGUUAGCACCUAACGUUUUCCCCUUACUUCCCCCCAAAUUCUUAAGUCCUUUGGUCCAUUUCAUUACUUCUUUUGGGGAGGGCCUGAUUCCUCAGGGCCUCAGUGGCAGAACCAGCCUGAGGUCACCUCCCUGUCCAUGGGUUACCACGGCCCCUGGGCAGGCAUGGGGAGCUGGGGUGGCUUGGGUUCCUGGCCUUGGCACCUCCCUUUGGGCGGCUCUGGAGUGUGGCUGGGCUGUUGGUACAGGAGCCACAGGCCACUGCCUUUUUGGCUGAGGGGACCCUAACAUCCUGGAGCAGGUGGGGCAGGGCCCAUGGUCUCCUCUAGGUGGGAGGUGGGAGGCUGAGGCGGCGUGGGCAGGCAGGUGGAUGGCGAGGCAGCAUGGGCAGGACGGUGGAUGGCGGGUCCACAGGGGCAGCCAGCAGCUCCUGCACCCACUGGGGCUCCAAGACUGUGGGCAAGGGAGGAAGGGGGAGCCCAGGCCGGAGGAUCCUGGGGGACGGUGCGGCCCGGGGGCCAGAUGUGGUCACCGAGCCCAGCCAGGCCUAGGGCCGCAGCAGCCCCAGGGCACUGAGGGCGCCACCCAGCCCGACACAGAGGCACAGGCCGCCCGUGGGUCCAGCGCCCGAAGUCCACGUACAGUAGCUGUAGAUGCCGAGCCGGUCCUGUUGCCUCCGGGAACCCAGUCCUCCUCGUCCUCCAGGCCGCGUUCCCCGGGUCCCGCGGCCCUUCUCCAGCCUGAGCCCGCCGCCCCGGCCGCAGCCACGCGCAGGGAGGAGCCCGGGGCACCAUAGCACAGCGCCGGCCUCACACACACCCUCGAGGCCCCUCUCGAGCCCCCGCGGAGCCCUCCGCGGCCGCACGCAGAGGAAGGCUGCCUCCUGUAGCAGAGCCCAGCCAUUCGCGGGUGCCCAGUUCAUCUUCAUGGGGCUAAACCUGCGGGAAGAGAGGGAAAGGGCCCUUAGUUUCCAUGGAGAUCGGGUGCCCAGAGGCGGAGGGCUCAAGGCUGGAGAGCAGAGGGACCCCCAUCUUUUGUGGGAUCAGGGUGCCCCCAGCAUCUUGGAGGCCCACUGAGGCCUGGGGGGGCGCGGUUU
rnacentral:lncRNA from 1 species